GGGAGGAAAAGAAACCAACUGGGAUUACCUUAGUAACGGCGAGUGAAGCGGUAAAAGCUCAAAUUUGAAAUCUGGUACUUUCAGUGCCCGAGUUGUAAUUUGUAGAAUUUGUCUUUGAUUAGGUCCUUGUCUAUGUUCCUUGGAACAGGACGUCAUAGAGGGUGAGAAUCCCGUUUGGCGAGGAUACCUUUUCUCUGUAAGACUUUUUCGAAGAGUCGAGUUGUUUGGGAAUGCAGCUCAAAGUGGGUGGUAAAUUCCAUCUAAAGCUAAAUAUUGGCGAGAGACCGAUAGCGAACAAGUACAGUGAUGGAAAGAUGAAAAGAACUUUGAAAAGAGAGUGAAAAAGUACGUGAAAUUGUUGAAAGGGAAGGGCAUUUGAUCAGACAUGGUGUUUUUUGCAUGCACUCGCCUCUCGUGGGCUUGGGCCUCUCAAAAAUUUCACUGGGCCAACAUCAAUUCUGGCAGCAGGAUAAAUCAUUAAGAAUGUAGCUACUUCGGUAGUGUUAUAGCUUUUUGGAAUACUGUUAGCCGGGAUUGAGGACUGCGCUUCGGCAAGGAUGUUGGCAUAAUGGUUAAAUGCCGCCCGUCU
rnacentral:rRNA from 1 species